UGUCUGAUGGCUGUGUCUUGUGAACAGACUGACCUGGCACGGUGGUCUGCUCCCUGCCAAGCUGUGUCUGCAGGGCACCGGUGACUGCCACAUGCACAAGUGCUGUUUCCAGUGCUUCCAGAUUAUGGACGUGUUACCUGGAAAAGUUCCUGUCCCUGAGGUGAAUGAGUCCCUGACCGCAGCCAGGAGCCAGCCUGAGGGAUCAUUCAAGAGUUUCCUCUGAACAAGAAAAUUUUACUUUUUUGAGGUAGCAUGGAGCUGAAUAAGAGGCAGUCAAGGAUACUUCAUAUAUAUUGGCGGUCUGAUACUACAUAAAAUCAACCUCUGGCGAGGACAGGGAAAGCAAGAGUUUAGGAAAAACUUCCUGGCCAAGAACUGCUGUGGGAAUCCACUCCCAGAUCUGAUUAAAUCAGGAGGUUGAGGACGACUUUCUUUUCUUAUACUUUUGCGUCAAUUAAGUCGCUCUGUGAUCUGGAUUACACCUCCACAUGUUUGUUAUUUGAUUACUGUGUGAAUGCUCAUUGCUUACUUUGCUUUUGUUUUAUGUUUUUCUGAUAAUUUCCUGAAAGCCUUAAACCGAAAUAAAUGACAGGUUUAGUAAAAACUC